CCUGUGUUUCAGACAUAAGGAAGUGGAUGGCAGCAAAUGUUUUACUUUUCAACUUGGACAAAACAGAGAUGCUAGUUCUAGGUCCCAAGAAACAAAGUGAUCUUCUGUCAGAUCUGAAAGUGAAUCUUGAUGCUUGUACAGUUGUCUAAAAUAAAACUGAAGGAACUCCGCGUUACACUGGACCCUGAUCUCUCUCUUGAACAAAUCAAGAAUAUUUCAAGAACAGCUCCCCCCCCCCCAUCUUCGUAACCUUGCAAAAAUGACAAUCAGUUUAAAAUCAAAUUAUUAGUGUGCAUGUAAACGUUACCAUUAAUGGCUACAAAAAUAAUUUGUUGGCAGUUCUUAGCCAAAAGCUAUGCAACCAAGUACUAGCUCCGGGGUGCCAAUAAUAUUUUUCAUGCCAUUUGUCGUUAUUUUCUAAAUUAACUUACGUUUACAAAUAUAAAAUUGGUUCCGCAAUGCUGAAAAUCCAAUAACAGGGUAUGGUGAGCAAUGUAUUAAAAACAUUGUCUAUUUUAAAAUAUAUGGGGAAUAAUUUAUGAAAACUGCAUGGGUGCCAAUAUAUUUGGAUGCAACUCUAGGUAGCAUACAGCUUAGCUUAUCUUCUAAAUGAGCUUUUAGACACCUUAUGAGCGACUACCAUUUCCACAAGAAGUAGAAAGACAACGUAUCAAAAAUUACUUAAUUAACUUCUGUAAACAGGGUGUAUGUAGGCAACAUUGUACAACAAGCUAUUUUAUACAUUCACAGUCAAAUCAUUUGAGUUUUAUGUGCGUUUUCAGUGUGACAACCCACUGCAAUAUGGCAGUAACACCUGAUUUAUAGACUGACUCAAAACUUACAUGCUUCCAAGCAUUGGGUUUGAUUUGUCAUUUUCUGGCAGGCUAUAACGCCAGACACGCUGAUAUCAUGGGAUGACAGACAAGGCAGCAAAAAGAGCCCCAGGACCAGGAGAAGAUGCAGGGUCAUGGUGAAAUGGUGGCACACACACUGGGCAGGGAGACGGAGGUGGUGGACAGGAGUCACAAUGAAGGCAGGGGACACACCACCAUCACAGCUCUAACAUCUACAGGACACAGAUAUGGAACACAGUCUUAUUUAAAAUUCAUAUAGGGCUACUUGACUUUUUUUUUUUUUUUACUUGCAUUUCAUUGUAUUUUUUCAAUAGAGCAGCAGUUGGAAUUAUAACCAUGUAAAUUCCAGUUUAUUCAAGACGCAUUUGAAUAAAAAUAAUUUGUACAUUUUUACUUCUGUCGAGCAAAAUAAAACGUAGUCGAUGUUUUGUUGUAGGCGUGUGCCCUGAGUAACGGGACCUGAGCAGUUUAGAGUCAAAGUUUGACUCAUGAGCACCAUCUAGAUGGAUUGCACUGAAACUGCAAGGUGGGACUUUCGUAAUUUAUUAAUCUCGGGUAAUGAGGAACUAAAAUCUCACGCAAUUGGUUUCCGUAGUAUGUCCAAUAUAUUAUCAUUGUAUGGACUAUUACACAAAUUAUACAUGAGGUUACAGUUUUAAGAUCUAGCUAGCCUGAAGACCAGAGAGCAAGUUAAGCUUGCAGCCAGGCACAAAAGAUGAUAUUGUACAGGGCAAUACCAACUAUUGUUAACUAUUCUGGCCUUCAGGUACAGGUUUUAUGUUGAGGCACUAUAAUUGUGAUACAAUAAAUAUCCCACGUAUACAGGUCAGAUAUUCAACUGAGUAGGCCUCAAAGCAAUUUUUGAAUUCCAGAGUCCUGUUCAUUCUUUUGGAAACUCACUGUUUGUAGACAAUGCUCAAGUUUACAAAAGGCAAACUCAAGAACACUUUUUCAGAACUCCUGUUGGCUCUACCUUAAAUAUAAAUCAGCAUUGGGCUGAGCAAAUUGUCACAGUUCACUACUGUACAUGUAUGCCAACGUGGAGAUCAUGUGAUGGGCUCAACAAUGGAUUUGCUCCAUUUCACUCCACAACUGGACAAACGACCAGUUUACAGAGUAUGUGUAUGAAAAACAUCAGAGCCUUCUGGUUAGUUAUUUAUUACACACGUUUAACCCACUGUGAAUUCAUUUGGCACUAAGGUUUUAACCACAUACCGUCGCAGGUGCUUGUCAAUACAGCUAAACCUGCAUUACUUUUUCCUAAACAUACAAGCAUCCGUCUUCAGACCUCUCCCUAGCUGAGUUUAUUCAACUCCACGAGAUAGAUAUCUUUAUUUUUUAACACAGGAACUUGAACUUACCACUCCCUAGCCCAGUAAUUUGGCUAGCCGCUAACUAAUAGCCAACACUGCGUUGCAAUGCAGGUUCAUCACUAGAUUGUUAACGUUAGUUAGCUAGUUACUUUAUUAGCCAAUUGGACAACAGUUAGUUUUUCACUUCGCUAGUUACUACCACAUCCACCACAGCACAGGUAUAUCCAAGCAAGUUGUUAGUAGUACCAAACAGAGACUGUAGAGAAAUAAGCCAAUAUCUCUGGCACCAAAUGACACUCAACAGUCAAUACCCACUUCAAUAUUAUUUGGUAGUAGCUAGGUAGGGGAGACGGCUAACUAGCUAGCCGCCUAGCUGGAUAGAUAGCUAACGUUAGUUGAACACCAAAUGCAACUCACCCAGGCAGGAGGCUAACAAUACACACCUUCAGUCAACUUAUGUCUCUGUUCUUGUAGCUAGACAACACCAUAGCAGUUGACAGUCUAUAGACAAACCAAAGAGGUGUCAUCUCAUAUCAACCAACAUCAGAAAAACAUCCCACUUUCCAACACGUGAAGCUAACUGAAGUAGCUAGCUGGCUAAGCUAACAACUACAUAAGGGUCGUCAUCACUAGUUACCACAAUCACAAAGUCAGAAGGCCCGCCUACUCGACCAAUCAUAUGAGGGAGUGUGAUGACGCGUAUGCCAGUUUACGGUUCGUUGUAAACAGCCAAUCAGAUGACGAGGUGUGAUGACGCGUAUGCCGACCGGCUUGCAGGGACAGUGCUUAAAUGUGUAAAUCGGGAGAUACCGGAACAAAAAGUGAGCGUCAGAGGGAGGUGACCUGGGGAGCUCUGAGGUAAUGAAACGCAUGAGAAAAUUUGUUUUGAAACUUUUUAAUAAAGCAUGCAUAUCAUCACAUUUGCAUAGUGGCAUUGGGCAUAAAUCAGUAGAGUAGAGACACUACUACAUAGUACCCUCUAAGCUUAUCAUUAAGCUCGGGGGCCUGGGUCUGAACCCCACCCUGUCCAGGACCCAGGACUUCCUGACGGGCCACCCCCAAGUGGUGAAGGUAGGAAACAACACCUCCACUUCGCUAAUCCUCAACAUAGGGACCCUACAAGGGUACGUGCUCAGCUCCCUCCUGUACUCCCUGUUCACCUAUGACUGCGUGGCCACGCACACGUCCAACUCAUUCAUCAAGUUUGCAGAUGGCACAACAGUAGUAGGCUUGAUGACCAACAAAUGGGG
rnacentral:lncRNA from 1 species